GCGGUGGUAGCGUAUUGGUUAAAGAACUAGGCUAGCAUGUAGUAGCCUGGGUUCAAUUCCCGGCUUCCACC
rnacentral:tRNA from 1 species